rnacentral:lncRNA from 7 species
AGAUCUGUAAGGCAAGGGGCGGAGCUAGUACAUAAGAAGAAGUGUCAGCAUAAUGGACUUUGAAGAUAUUUAACUGGAUACUCAGGGGAGCUGAAGAGGAACAUCUUCCAGAGUUAUAGGACUGUAAGCCUGGAAGAACCAGGGAGACCAAUAGGAAAAAGUUUGAUUAGAAGCCUGGUAUAUUGUGGGGAGAACAAGUGGGAUGAAGUGUAUGGUUAUUAAAUCAAACCACAGGGAAAAUCCUGUUCCUGAUAUGAUCUUUGAAGGGUACUGGUUGCAAGCAGAAACCUUUUAAAUUUCCUAACUGGAGCUUAAAAGCACAAGUGUUCUGAAUGGGUCCUGCGCGUCUUAGUAUCUGAGUUUGAAGAUCAACAGCAGCUAUUUGUUACUGGGAGGCACAGUGAAGUCAUAACCGGCUCUCUGAUACAGAUCACAAGGGAAGUGGCAGACUGUUGCUUAAUUUCAUCAUGGAACUGACACAAAACUUGUCAAGUACAGGAAAGUGUUGGAAGUAAGCAUGGUAGAACGAUUUCUCUUUAUCAUUGAUCAUGGAAAGGACGUAUAUCAGGCAGUUCAAGUGCCAUAUAUGAAAUAAGCUCCAGCAUCUGGUUUGUUAUCCCUCUGAAGGCAAUGCAGAGGAGCAGCAGAGUUGCUUGUUUUUGUAGGUAAGAGUGCAUGAAACCACAUGUAUUGUGGACAAUAAUGGAUGACAAUGAAACCUUAAUAAAUGAUAAUGGAACUUUAGUUUCUUAUAGCAGGUUGAGAAUUCAGGCAACCUCUGGUGUACAGCACCUUUUGAACUAACAUAUUUUCUUUUUUAUAACCCAAAUAUCGACAUUUUUUCAUCAGAUCAUUUCUACAUGUCCUACUUCAACAAGGGAAUGUUUUAUAGUAAUGUCACAACCUUUCUGGGCACUUCUCUGAGUUUGAUGGGACUGUAAUCAUCUGGUUCAGCAGAGGGAGUAUAACAUUUAUAUUUAUUUCCAGUGGAAUUAGCAGGGAUGCCUUUCUCUGCUAUAUUUUACCCAGCAUUUUCCUCUCUCUGAUCCAAUAUGGAAAUGUCAGAAAUUCAUCAAAGGUAUCUACCUUUGACCUCAUGAUUACUUGUGACAAGUACUAGAUAAUCCAAUCAGAAGAGCCUAGAAACUAUCACAAGAGGUGGUAUAGGGACUGUCAGUUCCUAGACUGUCUUGAUAGCUUGCUCUAAAAUGGUAGUGAAAAAUUUUGUUGUGUUGUUAUAAUGUAGGACUUAUUGUGUCUGAUGAGGGUUGAAUGUUAUAUCAGUACAAAUUUGGAUACAGGACAAUAAUGUGUAUAUUUUAUUUGUCAGGGAGAAUUCCCAUUAAAGUAAUACUUGGUACAUGAAAGAGUGUUUUAUGGAGUAUUUAAAGAAAAAGAACAGAUGCAACUGUUAUUUCCAUCAACAGCCUGCACACUUUAUGUUUGCCCUGUAGAUUUUGGAUUUAAUUUGAAUACCUUCUUAAAAUAAAAAUGCAGCUGAAUUCAG